GCCUGGGUGGCUCAGUUGGUUAAGCGUCUGACUUUGGCUCAGGUCAUGAUCUCACAGUCCAUGGGUUUGAGCCCCACAUCGGGCU
rnacentral:tRNA from 1 species